UGGGGAAUAUUGGGCAAUGGAGGCAACUCUGACCCAGCAAUGCCGCGUGAAUGAAGAAGGUCUUCGGAUUGUAAAGUUCUUUAAUCAGGGACGAAGGAAAUGACGGUACCUGAGGAAUAAGCCACGGCAAACUAUGUGCCAGCAGCCGCGGUAAUACAUAGGUGGCAAGCGUUGUCCGGAAUGACUGGGCGUAAAGGGAGCGUAGGCGGUCUGUUAAGUUGGAAGUGAAAUCCCGGGGCUCAACCCCGGAACUGCUUUCAAGACUGACGGACUUGAGUGUAAGAGGGGUAAGCGGAAUUCCUA
rnacentral:rRNA from 1 species